GCAGAACGCGAAGAACCUUACCAGGUCUUGACAUCCCAUUGACCGCUAUGGAGACAUAGCUUUCCCUUCGGGGACAGUGGUGACAGGUGGUGCAUGGUUGUCGUCAGCUCGUGUCGUGAGAUGUUGGGUUAAGUCCCGCGACGAGCGCAACCCUUGUUCUUAGUUGCCAUCAUUUAGUUGGGCACUCUAAGGAGACUGCCGGUGACAAACCGGAGGAAGGUGGGGAUGACGUCAAAUCAUCAUGCCCCUUAUGACCUGGGCUACACACGUGCUACAAUGGACGGUACAAACGGUUGCCAACCCGCGAGGGGGAGCUAAUACCGAUAAAACCGUUACUCAGUUCGGAUUGUAGGCUGCAACUACGCCUACCAUGAAGCCGGAAUACGCUAGUAAUCGCGGAUCAGCAUGCCGCGGUGAAUACGUUCCCGGGUC
rnacentral:rRNA from 1 species